CCUACGGGCGACAGCAGUAGGGAAUCUUGCACAAUGGGGGAAACCCUGAAGCAGCAACGCCGCGUGAAGGAUGAAGGGUUUCGGAUUGUAAAGUUCUUUUGUUAGAGAAGAAAAUAACGGUAUUUAACUAAUAAUCACCGGCUAACAACGUCUCAGCAGCCGCCGUCAUACGUCGGGUGAAAGCGUUCGUCGGAAUCACUGGGCGUAAAGGGCGCGUAGGCGGUAUAAUAAGUCUGAUGUGAAAGCCUAUGGCUUAAUCAGAGAACUGCGUCUGAAACUGUUAAUCUUGAGUGUGGUAGAGGUAGGUGGAAUUCUUUGUGUAGCGGUGAAAUGCGUAGAUAUAUGGAGGAACACCAGUUGCGAAGGCGACUUGCUAG
rnacentral:rRNA from 1 species